AAAGGCUAUGUUUUUCAAAUCCACAGAAAAAACAGUAAGAAAGAUGGCGAUGCCAACACCCGAAGUGACGAAUGGACGUGACGUCACUUUCGGAAAUCAGUACGGCAAGCUGUAAAUGAAACGUCCACGACAACGGUGGACCAGAUUGGAUAAACAAGGACCAAGAGGACCUUUCCACUAGCUGGUUUGCACUAGCUGGUUAUCCGAGAGUGUGUUCCUGAUCGUGUAUUUUCUGGUAUUUGACUUUUGCUUUGUUUUGACUUCCCUGAUUUGUGGUAUGCUUGACUUCUGGCCUUACUCAUCGUUGUGUCACGUUCUGUGUCCCUGACCUCGGCAAGUAUUUUGACUAUUCUCCGUUACGUUAAGUCCGGCCAUUCCAAGGGUCCUGUUAAACUUCAUCCUUAGUCCUAGGUGUGAGACUAUUCUGCGUGCUGGAUCAAUUAUAAUCCUGACACAUUACAUUAUCCCAUACAGUCUGUUCAGAAAUUAAUUAUUUAAAUCCAUUGGCCUAAAAAUGGUUUGUAAAACAAAGCAAAUGAAAGUCAGUAAUUAUGAUAUGUAGUGUUUACUUCAACAUGUACACUCUGUGUAAAUGAUUAGUCAUUAGAAGUCAUUUUUCUACAGUGUGAUAUAAUAACUAGCAGUAUUGAAUUCCAUUUAGCUGUGUUACCUAGUUCUGCUCAAUUAUUUUUUUCUUCUGUACCAUCCUUUCUUAAAUUGUGCAAAAUUCUCCUACCAAGAGGAAACAUAUUGUCAUUUUGCUUUUUGUGUGGCAAAUCGCCUAAUUGUAAUCUUGUUCAUCUUAAGUAUAUCUGGGUAAAAUGAUUCCUAUAAUUUAAUCAAUUUCACCAGUGAUCAAGGGAGAACAUAUAGAAGGUCAGGGCAGGUUAUUUAAAUAGUGGGACUGCCAAAAUGAACUUUAUGCCACAUCACUGAAGGAG